ACAUUUUACACGUUCUACUAUAGACAUUUAAACAAUAUGCAAAGGUUUUGUGACCCUUCCUGACCACCAUCCCACGUCAGCAGGCACUGGUGAGGUCAUACUCACCACUGACCAAUCAAGAUUAAGAGCGCCAUAUUUAAAUCCUAACCCACAGGAAUUCAGUUCCCCUUUGAAAUGCCGCCUUACCUGCGAAACGCGUGCCAGGGUUUUGAGAUCGCAACUUGAUACCCC